rnacentral:rRNA from 1 species
GGAAACAGAUGCUAAUACCGGAUAACAANAGAUGAUGCCUAUCAACUGUUUAAAAGAUGGUUCUGCUAUCACUCUUGGAUGGACCUGCGGUGCAUUAGCUAGUUGGUAGGGUAACGGCCUACCAAGGCGAUGAUGCAUAGCCGAGUUGAGAGACUGAUCGGCCACAUUGGGACUGAGACACGGCCCAAACUCCUACGGGAGGCAGCAGCG